GGACAAACCUCCCCUACUACCACUAUGGGCGGAGCCGCUGGGUCCUGCGCCUGCCCCUCAGAGGUCACGGCGCAGACCCGGAAGUAUAAAAGGAUGCCUGCAGAGCUCAGUCGAGGCCCAGCCACUGCAGGGACCAGACGUCUGCAGCUGCUGCCAUCUGGAGCCCACACCCGGCCAGCCAAGCCUGCCCCGCGCCAGCUACCCCGAGGAGCCGCUGAGCCUACCAUCAGCUACUUACCCAGAAGAACCGAUGGUGUUUGAGACCGCCGGUGACAUUACGACGACUCAGGACAGCGGAGCCAUCAGCCAGUGGACUAGAGCGAGGUGGUGGGGAUACCUCACAGCCCCGCUGCGGGAGAAACUGCGGCUGAGCCACACUACACACAUAAACAGAGAAAUGAAGAAAGGGAAUUUUCCUGCGCUUCCAAGAAGAGUAUUGAUUCAGUGAAGCUGCUGCGAUGACAGGUCACAUGCCUAACAACAAAAUGAAUUAGUGACAGGAAGCCUCUGUUCAGCUGAGGUUUAUAGAGGGUUCAACAAUCUUCGGGUGCUGCACAAAUGGGACUGGCUUUUGGAGACUGUGCCUGCUGAUGGAGUCAUCUCAUAUUGUUUGUACCUUUUAUCAUGAAGGACAGUAAAGCACUCUCUUACCAGGCUGAGGUGGUGAAAAACGAGGUCUGAAGCCACAAUGUGGACAGUGGAGAUGUUCAUCUGGAGAAGAGAGGGAAGAAAGCAGGGUGGUUGUUUUUAAGGCACUCUCAUUUCACGACUACUUAGAAUUGACACUGACAAUUGUUUAUCCUGAGGAAAUAUUAUCAGAUCUUGUGAGAGGGAAACAUCUUGGCCCAGAUUAGUAACAGUAGAGUCUGAAAUUCUCCACAAAACAAGUACAACAUAGAAGACGGCAAUAUAAGUAUCCCCUAGCUUCUUAUCCAGUGUGCCUCAGCCAUGACCUGGAGGAACGAUCACUCAUGCUCUUUUAAACCUCUGCCUCUGUGUUACUGCUGACAAGUCUGUCAGUUGUGAUGGUGUUUUUGUGAUGUGAAUGUUAGUCUAUUAGGAACUGGAGGAGGUGUCACUCACCAGCUCAUUCCAGGUAGGCCACGAGGGCCUAUGAUAGUGACUUUCAGUCACUGUCAGCUGGGCUCAGAUUCAGACUGGUGACUAGUGAAAGCCCUUGGAUCUCACUAUCAAUCUCGUGAGUAGAGCUGGUUGGAAUGUUUUGAUUUUGAUUAAGUUUUUGUUCUGAAGGGGGUGUGUGCAUGAGUGAGAGAGACCUGAAUCUCUCUAGCAUGGUAGUUAGAUCACUGCUGUGAGAUUUGGGAGAUACAGGUUUCCCACAUCCCAGGCCACAUAGGCACAGAAAAACUCAGGUUUUGAUCCAAACGUGUACUUUUAAACACAAUUUUGUUUCAUGCUAAUGUUCAAAAAGUCUUGUUUUGUUUCAAAAUGGAUUUGGAAUCCUCCUAACAGCUCUGCUUGUGAGCUAUUCAGCUUCUAUUACGCACAUUAUUAAAUGUUAAUUGUCAUUAGAGUUAUAAUGACUAACUAAUGGAUGCCAUAAUGGCAAGGAUGGGAGCAGAUUAACUUGCAUUGCUACAGAUAUCUAUCUAGCCCUGAGAGUUUUUAUGGUAUAUGGACUGAUUUAAUAUAGUAAUGUAAUAGGGCUCA